UGUGCCCUGCACACACCAAUAUUAUAGUGCAAUCUGCAUGCAUAAAUAUAUAACUGAUAAUGCCUUUGCCGGCAUGCAGUCAUGGAUAUAGUACCAAUAAUUGUGUAAAGCAAAUUGAAUGUUGUCAGGAAUUCCACUGCAAUGCAGCUACUAUAGUGUAGAGGAUUACAGUGCAUCCAGUCUAGAGAGUAUAUAGAAUACCACAAUAUAGUGUAUAAGCAAGGUCGCUUCAUUCGUGGGUAAAAUAUUCGUGGAUCCAGUGGUAUAAACUUUUGUGGAAUGACCGUUAGAAAGUUGUAGAGUCCUCAUCUUCAUCACUGAUCUUCAAUGUUGUCCUACCUGUUGUGAGUGUGUUGGCUGUACUAGCUCUAGUUGUACUGGGUGGAGCUGUUUAUGGAUACAUUCAAGUGAUUAUACUCAUCUGUUGAAGAUAAAAAACCAACAAACUGGAUCCGGAAUUGCUAAAUUGAUUUAACUAUAAUAAUAAUAAUUAUAGAUUAUAUAAUUAUAACUAUGAGUCUGUGCAUCGAUUAAGUGGCGCAGUUAUU